AUGGCACAUUACUCCCCGCCUGGUUUCGGCAACGACUUUAAUGGCGUGGUUGAUGGUUUUGCUCGAGUGGCAUGCACCUCAUCUUGGUUUUGCACAUGCGGGUGGUAUUUCACCUUCUUCCUCCUUCUCUUCCCUCCUGUGCCACUCACACCUCAACUAUCUGAGAGCCGCUGGCUUAUGCGCUCCAGGAAAAGGCGCUCGAACAUCUUGCACGUCUUUACCAGCCUGGUUGCGCUGGCUCUCCUUUUCGCUCUCCGAGAAUUGGCAGUACUAUAUGGACAAGCCAUAGGAGCCCCCUUCCACUGUGAGAAACUAGGAAGUGGUACUAGUAUUGGAGUACAGGUAUUCAGUUUUGAAGAGGAUGAGAUGAACGUGUUGAUCUUCCUCUCAAGCUCUUCCCUCUUAGCCCCAACUACCCCACUCAACUGCUGCCCGCCUUUCACUACUACAAAGGAUACAUCCCAGCGGAUGCAUCAGUAUCAUAGAAGAAGCAAAGGCAAAGUGGCCACUACAACACCGGAAACCAGUUACAACACCUCCAGCCAGCCGGAGGCCCAAGGUUCCCGAAUUAACUACUCACUAACAACCCGUCCCACAUCUAACUCCAUCAGAAGAGCAAAACUCAGUAGCUUUGCCGACUUCCAGUCCCUCGCCUCGUCGCAAACCUUUUGGAGAACCACAUGCGUGAACGGAGCCGCGUUGUUGAAGACUAUGUCAUUCCAGUGUUUUCCAUAUAGUCCAGAACACGAGGUCAGGCAUCCAGUCUAUCUUCCCCCGUGCCGUCAGAACCGCUGCCCAAACGUCACGAGAGAAGACGCAUCCCAACAGAAGAAUCCCAAUACAUCAACAUUCGAAGAAAAUCUGCACUUCCAUUUCUGUAGUGUGCAGAAGACUGAAGAGAAGAGGGAGAGAGGGAGAGAGGUGGGGGUGGGCAGGAAGAAGGUGAUGUGGAAGCCAAAACUUGAUAUCUACUCUCCGUUUCUCCAGGAACAUGGUGCCUGUCAUCAUCCUCUACCUGAAGAAACUCGCAACUUUCCUCUCGCAAAGAAGCGCUUGGGCGGCCUGGAUGAUGGACCUCCUCUUCGAGUGGGAGUGACGGGAGGCUGCACCCGCCAAGGAGUUCCAGACUUCCAGUGGCUCGGGCUGAUGCUGUUUGUCGACGUCCCAUUCCCAGGCACCGGAGCAUGGACUGGCGCCAUCAUCGCGUCUGUCCUUGGCAUGCCGUUCUGGUCAGGCUUGUUGGCGAACUUGGUGGGAGUCGUCCUCGCAGGGUUGCUUGUAAACUUGCUCAUGAACCUGGGUCUGAAAUACGCCAUUGGCACCGGGGCGCUUCUCUUCAUUGUAUCAACUGUCAUGUGGGGAGUGGGGUGCCCUUUUGGGGAAAAGGGCUCUCGGCCCCGGCUCCACUUGUAUUUCAACAGAUGUCGUGUUCCGUUCCGUCCGAAAAGGAACAAGGCGCGGCUGAAAUUGGUGAAGGGAAGCGAAGGGAAGAUGAGAAAACAAGGCAGCAGUGUGAGCCACCCUCGGUUGGUUCCACCACCGCCCUCCCUCCCUCCCUCCCCUGGCGAAGUCGUGGUCAUGGUCGUGUCGUGUCGUGUGGGUUCUGGUUCUGGGGGCCACCAUCGCGAUCCUCGUUUCUCGCCUGUGUUCCGCGACAAAUCCAAUCCAAUUGGAAGGAAGGAAGGAAAGGGAAAAAGUUUGUGGGGGAGGAGCGAAACGGAUGCCCAUCGCCAAUGGCAUGCCGAGAAGGGAUGCAUGCAGGUGGUCACAGGUGAGGACGAGAUCACCUGGCAUGCAAUGGCCGAGCAAGCAAGGCUGGGUCUGGGUGAAGUGGAGUUUGGAGGGCGAUUCCUGGCUUCCUGCCUGCCUCCCUCCCUCCCACCUGUCCCUUCCUUCCUUCCAUUGUCCUGUUUCUCCCUCCCUCCCUCCCUCGGUCGUCUCCACUACCACAUAGGAUCCGGUCCGAUCAGAUCAGCUGUUUUUGGUAGAGCCGCUCUGAACCUUGGGUCCGUGCCAAUGAUCCGCUGCGGUGCAUGCGCCGACGACGUGCGGUACGCGCGUGCUUGCCGCCGGCCGUCACGUUCCGCUCCCACCGUUCCUUGUUGCUGUACACGACACGAUCGGAUCCAUCCACCUAGAACCAUCCAUCCAUCCAUCGACCCCAUCCCGCGCACCACCGGGCGCCAAAUCAAGCAGCGUGCCGCCAUGCGUUCCACUCAUGCUCUUCUUGCUGCAAUUGGAGCUAAUGGCAAUGAUCCCCACCGCCUGUGGUUGGAGGACGUGCCGACUGAUGUACUACGUGACUUUGUGGCCAGCUACUUAGCUGUGUCUGAUGUUUAA
rnacentral:rRNA from 1 species